UACAACGUGUGUCCGAAAAUCAAUCGGAUCGGAUGCGUACUUCGAUAACUUGCCAUAGUGGAACUGACAACCUGACACUGCACAAUGGGCUAAAAAUCUGGACAAAGUCGAUUUAAAAGAUCUCGCGUAAAAUGUGAAGUUUUUGCUUUCUGCGAUGUGGUUGAACAUACAUCAAAUAAUAUAGUGUUUCUCUGAUAAUUAGCUUCUGAGUUACUGUUCGUUCAUUAAUGUUUUAGCAAACAUUGACAUCGUUUCACUCCCAAGUACUCUUGUUGCUACAAAAACAAUAUUGAACAAAGUUUGACAAUGUUUGAUAUCGAAUAAAAUGUUUUACUUAAUUACAAAUUGCAAUGGUGCCAAAAGUAGUAGAAAAAUGGGAUGAAAUGAAAUAGAAUGAAACGAACAAUGGAGUGUCUCCAAGGAACAUGAGGUUUCGAGUAGCGGGCAGUCACCAAAAAAGCGAAUAGCGGCGAUAUUGGCAAGUCAGCCACCCAAUACAGGGAAGUCUGUGAAGGAAAGGAAAACUUCUCUCUUCGCAUAACUUCUUGAUGUAAUCGGCUUUUCAUGUUCGAGGGAACUUGAGCAUGAAAAGGCGACUACACCGCUCGAGAAAUACGAUUCCGAUUCAACUUACUCGGCAAAGUUAAGGAAGGAAGAAGAUGGCCGCAAUGGUUGUCUGUUGAAGGGCAGAGCAGCGUUAGUCAGAGAUAAGAAGCCUGUACACGAAACAGACCCUGAAGAACACACGCGACAAUGCACCUCUCGAAAAAAGCCUCUUAUCAAGGUUAGCACCGCGCAACGCAGAGUGGCAAAUUCUGACAAAACCAGUUUACAGAAGUGGCGCUGCUCGAUCUCGUUAGACACAAAGAGAUCUCUAAGGUGAAGAGCCUUGGGACCUUUCGAUUUCAACUUGAAUCGUGGAGUCCUCGUGAGAGUUUUCAGGCAGCAAUACUGUGCUGAGCUGAAUCUUGAUAGUCUCAAUACAGAGACUGGAGACUACUGGAGUCGAAUAUAAUUCUUUUGCACUUUGCAAAAUCCUUCAGAGCUGUCGGGCUAACCCUUUGCACUCAAAGCCAUUGGAACUCUAAAUCCAAGAUAGUAACUCAAAUAUCCGUUCCUUCGAUAUAAACUUUGGCGAUGUAAAAAUUAGUUUAGAACGUAAUAUAACAAUUUUCAAUGGUGCCCGAAGUCCAUACAUGAAGCAAGCGAUCAGGGAAACUUCGCUACUGAAAGGCAGCAUCUUUUUUAGCAACAGGACAAAUACGUACAUGAUUCCUGUUUACGUAACUACUAUAUUUCCUACGUCCGUUGAGGUCAACUCCAUUUCCAAAUAGUCUCCAAAUGUCAAUUCCAUCAGGAUCACCUACAGAUCCGAAAGCCACUGUCUCCAUGAAUGAAACGAAAACAACGGGCAUCGGAAGCCCACCGGACUCGUGAAAGUUCCUCAACAAUUCAGAUCCACCGAAAGCCCCCGAAUCGAAGUUCGUCGAAAUUUGCAUAGCAAAUAUUACCUUCAUCCGAGGUUUGCUGAAGCUUCGCUGGAAUUACCUUUGCAACGACCAUCAGUUCGAUCCGAGACCCUUCUCGACGCUAGGUUGGGUCAUUUCAUGUAGUUAAGUUCGGAUACGAAAUCUCGCGUGCGCCUAUUGUUUACGGUGUAUUAAGAACUUUCGUCUUUCAUACUUUCUUCGGAGUAGAAACCUCUUGUCUGAAUGCUCGACUUAUGUCCAAAUGCUGAAGGUCGAACAAGGGCUCCCGUGACGCUAAGUAUUUCUGUAGAAGGGCAAAGAGUGAUCUUAUCUUGGCUGUCCAAUCGAGAAGAAUUGCAGGAUAUUGCAUCUAGCGGAAUAUUGUAAAAAUAAAUGUUCGGAUAAGAAUACACAUGCUUCCGCAUUUUCAAAGAGAUCGAAUUAAGAAGUUUCGACUUGAUGAACUAUAGGUAUCGAACACGACUCUGGUCAAAAAUUCAAGUGAAACUAUGUACCUGCUAUAUUCUUUACCACAAUUGGAACGUUUAACACUAGAUUUACGGGACCCAUCGAAA